GGCUUUUCUUUACCCCGCUGCUAGAUUUUGUUUUAAGUUUUAGAUGUUAAGAAUUUUCCUUUAGCACAGACAUCUGAGCAGAGACUGGAGAUGUGCUAACAAUUUAUAAAAGGUGUUAAACAUGAGAGCUGGUUAAUGCAGAAAUAAUCUAACAUGCUCUACGUCUAAUGACAGAGCUGGACAAUCUCCUAAGUAACAGAAGGCAAACCAAACAAUCCACACAAUCACAGAACGGAGGCAAAUGGAAAAAAUAAAUAAAAAGACAAAAAACAUAAAUUCUGGUUGAAAACAGGCGAAGCUCAAGGAGGCAAACUAAACCGAGGCAACAGCUGGACAUCGCUGCUGGGGACGCAUCAAAACCUCUAAGGAGUGAGACAUCACUGCUGAGGACAGAAACACAGGAAGUCAAACUAAGAUCCUAAAGGUCUAAAAGUGGAGAUGAGGACAACUUAAAGUCUAGAGGCAGAGGGACAAGGCUGUAGUGGAGACUGAUUAGAAGCUCUCUAGAGCAGAGCUCUCUAACUCCAGUCCUCUACAGCAGUGUUUCUGCAGCUUUCAGGCGCAUCUCUCCUCCAACACACCAGGAUCAAACAAACAGCCUUUUACCAGACCUCUGCAGAGCUGAAUGACUGAUGAGGGAAAUCAGCCGUUCCAUUCAGGUCUGAUGGAGAAGAGAUGUGACUAAAAGCUGCAGCAUAGCAGCUCUGGAGGAGUGGAGCUGGACAGCCCUGAUCUAGAGCAGGACAAUGCUGCUAGAUCUAGAUCUAGAAUAGAACAGUGACACAGCUUGAAGUGGUCAUCAGUUGAACUGGUCUCUGGGAUGAUGGUGAGAAGGUAAAGACGAUGCUUGGAGGGACUAAUUGAUCUCAGAGCAGUUUAAAGCAGAGGACAGGACUGAUGGAAGGAUGUGGGUGGUGAAUGGCGGCGAUUGUUAGAACCCGCUUUCAGCUGUGACUUGAUCUAGUUCUAGAUGUUCCUCUGGUCAGUUAGUGAAAUAUCCCUCUGCAGAAAUACUCUACAUAUGAUCUAGGCCAGUUCUGACCACACUGGAUCUCCUCUGGGUUUUUUUAAUCCCAUGUCGGACCGAGCCUCUACAAGCUUUGGGCCGUCAGAAGAUGCUGAUGAGAUCUACGGCGACCAAACCAGAGGAGCAUCAUCUGAGCUGCUGACCUUUACAAAAAACACUGUGGACGUCCAAAAGCAGAACUCCUGUGAGGAACCGGGACCUCCAGGAUGCUGAGGAGCCUCCUAGUCCCCACCUGAGGACGGCACAGAGGAACACACCUGGAGAGAAGCAGGUUGAAUAUGGAAGCAGUGAUCUAGCAGUGGGAUCUCAGUGGAGCAGAGUCCAUCCACACGUGUUUGAAGGAGCUGAAGCAGAGGAUGGAGAACACAGACCACUAAGGAGGAGAAACAUGGCUCCUCUAUUUGUCUCUCCAACAUUCUAGAGUCCUGGACUGAAAAACAUUGAAGACCCCACAACUAAACCAUCAGUCUGCUCCACCCAGAAAGAAGAUGGUCAGCUGCUCCUUGGACCGGCGCCUCUGUGUCUGUUGGACGUCUGCUGUCCUG